UCUCCAGCUGUUUUUGGACUACAAUUCCCAUCAUCCCUGAUGACUAUGGAUGAUGGGAGUUGUAGUCCAAAAACAGCUGGAGA